rnacentral:rRNA from 1 species
GACGAACGCUGGCGGCGUGCUUAACACAUGCAAGUCGAACGGAAAGGCCCUGCUUUUGUGGGGUGCUCGAGUGGCGAACGGGUGAGUAACACGUGGGUAACCUGCCCUUGACUUUGGGAUAACUUCAGGAAACUGGGGCUAAUACCGGAUAGGAGCUCCUGCUGCAUGGUGGGGGUUGGAGAGUUUCGGCGGUUUGGGAUGGGCUCGCGGUCUAUCAGCUUGUUGGUGGGGUAGUGGCCUACCAAGGCGUUGACGGGUCGCCGGGCUGAGAGGGUGGACGGGCAAAAUGGGGCCGGGGUUAGGCCCAGGCUCCUAAGGGGAGGAAGAGUGGGGAAAAAUGCAACAUUGGGGGGAAGCUGGUGCAAGGAAGCCGGGUUGGGGAUGGCCGGCUUCCGGUUGUAAACUCGUUUCGCUAUGGGCGAAACGUUGUGUGACGGUACCUGGUGAAGAAGCACCGGCUAACUACGUG